rnacentral:rRNA from 1 species
UGCCUCAGUAACGGCGGAGUGAAGCGGCAACAGCUCAAAUUUGAAAUCUGGCCCUAGGCCCGAGUUGUAAUUUGCAGAGGAUGCUUUUGGUGCGGUGCCUUCCAAGUUCCCUAGAACGGGACGCCAGAGAGGGUGAGAGCCCCGUACAGUUGGACACCAAGCCUUUGUAAAGCUCCUUCGACGAGUCGAGUAGUUUGGGAAUGCUGCUCAAAAUGGGAGGUAUAUUUCUUCUAAAGCUAAAUACCGGCCAGAGACCGAUAGCGCACAAGUAGAGUGAUCGAAAGAUGAAAAGCACUUUGAAAAGAGGGUUAAACAGCACGUGAAAUUGUUAAAAGGGAAGCGCUUGUGACCAGACUUGCGUCCGGUGAAUCACCCAGCUCUCGCGGCUGGGGCACUUCGCCGGCUCAGGCCAGCAUCAGCUCGCUGUCGGGGACAAAAGCUUCAGGAACGUAGCUCUCUUCGGGGAGUGUUAUAGCCUGUUGCAUAAUACCCUUCGGCGGGCUGAGGUACGCGCUCCGCAAGGAUGCUGGCAUAAUGGUCAUCAGCGACCCGUCUUGAAACACGGACCAAGGAGUCAACCUUAUGUGCGAGUGUUCGGGUGUCAAACCCCUACGCGUAAUGAAAGUGAACGCAGGUGAGAGCUUCGGCGCAUCAUCGACCGAUCCUGAUGUUCUCGGAUGGAUUUGAGUAAGAGCAUAUAGGGUUGGGACCCGAAAGAAGGUGAACUAUGCGUGUAUAGGGUGAAGCCAGAGGAAACUCUGGUGGAGGCUCGCAGCGGUUCUGACGUGCAAAUCGAUCGUCAAAUAUGCGCAUGGGGGCGAAAGACUAAUCGAACCUUCUAGUAGCUGGUUUCCGCCGAAGUUUCCCUCAGGAUAGCAGUGUUGAACUCAGUUUUAUGAGGUAAAGCGAAUGAUUAGGGACUCGGGGGCGCUAUAUUGCCUUCAUCCAUUCUCAAACUUUAAAUAUGUAAGAAGCCCUUGUUGCUUAAUUGAACGUGGGCAUUCGAAUGUAUCAACACUAGUGGGCCAUUUUUGGUAAGCAGAACUGGCGAUGCGGGAUGAACCGAACGCGAGGUUAAGGUGCCAGAGUAGACGCUCAUCAGACACCACAAAAGGUGUUAGUACAUCUUGACAGCAGGACGGUGGCCAUGGAAGUCGGAAUCCGCUAAGGACUGUGUAACAACUCACCUGCCGAAUGUACUAGCCCUGAAAAUGGAUGGCGCUCAAGCGUCUCACCCAUACCUCGCCCUCAGUGUAGAAACGAUGCGCUGAGGAGUAGGCGGACGUGGAGGUCGUGACGAAGC